rnacentral:rRNA from 1 species
CUUUCGCCAGGGAUGAUAAUGACCGUACCUGGUAAAGAAACCCCGGCUAACUCCGUGCCAGCAGCCGCGGUAAUACGGAGGGGGUUAGCGUUGUUCGGAAUUACUGGGCGUAAAGCGUACGUAGGCGGAUCAAAAAGUAGGGGGUGAAAUCCCGAGGCUCAACCUCGGAACUGCCUCCUAAACUCCUGGUCUUGAGUUCGAGAGAGGUGAGUGGAAUUCCGAGUGUAGAGGUGAAAUUCGUAGAUAUUUGGAGGAACACCAGUGGCGAAGGCGGCUCACUGGCUCGAUACUGACGCUGAGGUACGAAAGUGUGGGGAGCAAACAGGAUUAGAUACCCUGGUAGUCCACACCGUACACGAUGAAUGCCAGUCGUCGGGCAGUAUACUGUUCGGUGACACACCUAACGGAUUAAGCAUUCCGCCUGGGGAGUACGGUCGCAAGAUUAAAACUCA